rnacentral:rRNA from 1 species
CUACCAUGCGCAAGUCGAGCGGAAACGAGUUAUCUGAACCUUCGGGGGACGAUAACGGCGUCGAGCGGCGGACGGGUGAGUAAUGCCUAGGAAAUUGCCCUGAUGUGGGGGAUAACCAUUGGAAACGAUGGCUAAUACCGCAUGAUGCCUACGGGCCAAAGAGGGGGACCUUCGGGCCUCUCGCGUCAGGAUAUGCCUAGGUGGGAUUAGCUAGUUGGUGAGGUAAGGGCUCACCAAGGCGACGAUCCCUAGCUGGUCUGAGAGGAUGAUCAGCCACACUGGAACUGAGACACGGUCCAGACUCCUACGGGAGGCAGCAGUGGGGAAUAUUGCACAAUGGGCGCAAGCCUGAUGCAGCCAUGCCGCGUGUGUGAAGAAGGCCUUCGGGUUGUAAAGCACUUUCAGUCGUGAGGAAGGUGGUGUCGUUAAUAGCUGCAUUAUUUGACGUUAGCGACAGAAGAAGCACCGGCUAACUCCGUGCCAGCAGCCGCGGUAAUACGGAGGGUGCGAGCGUUAAUCGGAAUUACUGGGCGUAAAGCGCAUGCAGGUGGUUUGUUAAGUCAGAUGUGAAAGCCCGGGGCUCAACCUCGGAAUAGCAUUUGAAACUGGCAGACUAGAGUACUGUAGAGGGGGGUAGAAUUUCAGGUGUAGCGGUGAAAUGCGUAGAGAUCUGAAGGAAUACCGGUGGCGAAGGCGGCCCCCUGGACAGAUACUGACACUCAGAUGCGAAAGCGUGGGGAGCAAACAGGAUUAGAUACCCUG